UUCUACUCACGAUUCUGCACGAUUCACCGCUCCCUCAUGAUUCUGGUUAGACGAUUUGAUUAACAAGGUGCCGAUUCUGCUUAAACUUCAUUGAUCCUGGUUAAUCGACGAUUUGUUAAUUUUGUCUCUCUGGUUGAUACAGAUUCGUUCAAAAAUCAAGAUUUGGGGUUUAGAUGUUGUUGUUUGGUUUUUGUUGAUGCAAUGUGUGUGUGUUUGUGUUUUUCCGGUGGCCGUUCUUCGCAAUCUCGCUGAUAGGGUAGCAUAUGAUUCACGACAUCCUCCUUUUCAAUAUGUUGCAGCAAGUGAGGAUUUAUAGGUUGAUCUGGUUUUACCUAAUUUUGGUUCUGUUUAAUUAGUUGAAGAUAAGUUAAGUUUUUUUGAUGAUAUUUUUUGUUGAAUUGUAGGC